AUGAUGAAACCGAUGACGAAGCACAAGGGGAUGAAGAUGGUGGGCAAUCAGAAAUCAUGGUACCCCAGCCCCCGUAUCUUGGGCAGAGAUUUGAUUCGUUUGAAGAUGCAAAGGAAUUCUACCAGACAUGCAAAGUUCCAUGGGUUUGCGGUCAACACCGAAUACCAUAGGAAAAUAAAAAAAACUAACGAGUACAACAGAGGUGAGAUGAGGUGCUACAAGGCACGAAGAAACAAGAAGGGCAAAGGUGAUGCACCUGUCGUUCCGGAACAAAAGAGAGGUAUCAUUGUCAAGACGGAAUGCCCUCUCCGGUGUAAGCUGAACGUAGAUGGAGCACAGUGGGUGGUCACUGAAUAUUUUGACGAGCACAACCAUGAGCUAAUAAAGAAGUUUGACCUGGUAAAAUUUCUGACCGCCUACAGAGGAUUCACCCCUCUCGAGAAGAAAUUCAUAAAGCUGCUACAUGAUUGUAACACCGGUCCAUCAAGAAUGGUGCAGAUACUCUCCCUCAUCCACAACAAAAAGGGGUCUCUGAGUAGCAUGCCCUACAUACCAGCAGACGUCACAAACCUAAAGGCAAAGUACCGUAGAGAAAGCAAGUUGGCUGACAUAGAAGCCACGAUAGCCUACUUCGAUGAGAAAGCGAAAGAAGAUCAAGAUUUCUUCUACAGGAUAAGAUUGGAUGAUGAGGACCGUGUUAGGAACAUGUAUUGGGUGGAUGGUGCUGCAAGAAGAGCCUACAAACAUUUCUGA
rnacentral:rRNA from 1 species